AUAUGAUUCACAUGGUUACUACUCAAACGAAGAAGCUAUAAGCUUCGUGGAGAUACCUUUUUCUUUGUCCCUUCAAAGAGAGGACAACACUCACUUUAAUAAAGAAAAAGAUAUAUAGAACACCACUCAAUAACGAGACGUCUGCAUAUAUAUCGAGAGGUGGAAUUUAGUAUUAUAUUAUUUAGCUAAUAAUAAUAAUAAUGUAUGAUCAAUCACUUAAUAUAUAAUACAAUGUAAUUAAUUAUAAAGACAAUCGAUUAUAAGUAGUGUGCAUGAUGAGAAGUUUGAGAGUUGCCAAAUCUAGAGAGAGAGAGAGAGAGAGUGAGAGAGAAAUUUAGAUCAGUUGGUGUUGUAGUAUAGUAUACUACUUGACUUCGUCGACGGCGGGUAUCAGUAUCAACUACUUAACAAUGGUGAUGGUUUACAGAAGAAGUAAGGGAGGAAUAUUAACGGCUGCUGCGGCGGUAGCAGUAGUCCUGAUUAUUAACUGUUGCGGAGCAGCUGUGCUUCUGAAGACCAAUGUCACUUAUGAUCGCUACUGUCUUAAUGGUGCUGGCACCACUUACGAGAACUGCCUCAUUUCAGAGAACCUUGAAUUGGAGUUUUUGGUGGAUUCUCACGUCAGCCGAAUUAUUGCUGAGAAGGGUGAAAGUAAUUCCGUAGCCGGAAAAUCUAACAAUCGGAACAAGGCGAUCUGCUCUGGUAAGGAAGGUCAAUCGUACCAGAAGUGUCUCGACGAACAGCAACAAAAGAUCAAAUGUCCCAACGGACAGUACCUAAGAAGUUGCUAGCUAGAAGUAAAGUCGACCUCCAAGCCUCUCCUAAUAGCCGGUCACAGAGCUUCUUUUAUGGUGUGUCAGUGUGGGGUUGCUCUAGUUUGGCGGUGGGGUGAGGUAUAUACUCAAAUAUGGCUUUUGUGUUGUUUGGUUGGCCACGAGAUAACGUGGUGAUGGCAGUGUCGCAAGGUACGGUUAGAAGUUGUCGACUCGAUCGACGAGGAUAAUUGUUGGUUUGGCUUUAUCUCUAAAGCUUGUCCACUGUUGUGAUGUUUUGUCAUUGAAUCUCACUUGAUAAUGUCCUUUGUGUCUUCAAUAAUGUGUUUCUAGUAUGUUUUGUUGUUUGUUUGUUAUGUUUUCUUUUAGUACUAGUCUUGUUUUAGAUUACAAUAAUAGUGCUAUUAUCAUCCUUAAUCCUUUGAAGAA